AUUGAGGAGAAUUCUGCAAAAUAACUAACCAGUGCUUCCCAAACUGUCAAGGUCAUGCAAAAACAAAACAAAACAAAAAAAACAGAAAACAAGAAAAGACUGAAAGUGUUCAGAGAUAAGAGGAGAGUCAGAAGACAUGCCGUAUGAUGUCCCAGAGCAGAAAGAAGGCAGUAUGAGAAACCUGCACACACCUGGAAUUUACCUCAUGGUAAGCAGCUUUCCUCUGCUAUGCCCUUCUUCUAUAUUUCUGCCUCACCACAUGCCAAAAAGCAAUGCAGCCAGUUGGCCAUGGACUGAAGCCUCUGAAACUUGCUGUUCUCCUGCCCUGCUUCUCAGUCACCACGAACUAAGAAGUUUUGUUCUAUCAUACUCUUCUACCAUGCCAUUUCUGCCUUGAAGCAAAUCAACCAUGAAUUCCACCCUCUGAAACCAUGACACAGAUAAACCUCUCAUCCUUUAAGCGGUGGGUAUAAGAUAUUUGUCUCAGCUAUAAGAAAGCUGACUAAUGCAGAACAUUGGUACCAGAGAAGUGAAAGUCAUUGCUAUAAAUGUACUUGAUCAUAUGGUUCAGAAGCCUUUGGAACUGGUUUGUGGGAAGAGUCUUGAAAAAGCCUGGAGAAAGCCUACAAUAUUACAAGCAGAUCUUGAUGAAUGACUCUUGCUAGAGCUCAAAGAUAAGAAUGUUGGUAAUAACAUGGACAGUAUGAGAUUUCAGUUGGGAACUCUAUUGGGAAUUAGGCUAAAGGUCAUGCAUGUUAUACUCUACCACAAGUUCUCUAAUUUUGUUCAUACUCUAAGACUAAAUUUUAGGCCCAUGAGCCAAGAGAAAAAAUCAAGGCAGCCCAAUAUUCAGGCAGUGGUAUGUGUACUUCUGGUUUUUUAAUCCAGAUUUGUAGUGAGAAUCAGGAGCAAAAAACAGAUCAGAAAGUUUUGAAAAGCAUAAGUUUUGACCAGAAAAUUAGCAUAUGUAAAGUUAGCAUCAAGGAGAGUAUGGUUCCUAAAAAAAUUAAUGCUUUUUAAAAGACACCAAAUACUGUGAACUAGGACAAGAAGAAAGAUGUUUUGAGGGCACCUCAGGAACUGGCAAGACUGCAUCCAUCAUAGACUCUAAGGUACAAAAGUGUAGAUCUUUCAUUUGAAGAAAGAGACCCUGGGACCCUUUUCAAGAAGGUCCAUUUAGGAAAUUGGUUUCCCUGGAUUCAUUUCACUGUGUUCAGCCAUCCAGGCCCUCAGAGGCCACUUUAUUGCUCACAUUGGUGGCAGAUCUUGGCACUAUCCACAUAAUGCUGAUUUUUUUGGUAUACAGAAUGCUAUGGAAACAUUAAGGCUUCCACUCAGAUUUUAAAGAAAGGCCUUGAACACCAGGCAAAAAUGUGUGACAGUGUCAGUGUCCCUGCCAGAAGCUACUGAGAGCACAAUGGGUGUAGCUGUAGGAAUGAAGCCAAAGGUAUAAUGGAGACCCCAGGAAACUAGGGAUUUUAGGAGCAAGGAAAGCUGUGGCAACGAGUACAGCCAGCCCAGGAUAGAGGUCAUGUGAGCUGAAACUGGCAAAACCAUAGGGAUGGUGUUGCCCAAACCCUUUGGCACUCACAUUUCACCACCAUGUUCCCUGGAUUCCAGACGUGUAGCUAUAAGAUCUAACACUUGCCUUGCUGGUUUUCAGUCUUGCUUUGGUCCUAUUCUUCUUUAUUUCCUCCCCUUAUUCAUUUCUCUUUUUGAGAUGAGAGUGUUUACCCUGUACAGUUUUAUAUUGAGAAUAUGUAACUUGCUUUUUGAAUUUUCAGACGUUUGUAGCCAAGGGCUUACUUUGAGUCUCAGGGGAUAUUUUGAACUUAAAUUUAUGAAUAAUGCUGGAAUUGGUGAAACUUUAGGGUGGACAUUGAAGGACCCUAGUUAGUAAGACAGACUCCAUAUUGCUGCUUGACCCACCUGCCUGCCCUUUACAUGAACUCAGAAGGAGGAAGCUUAGAAACCUCCUCCCCUUAGAGUUUCUUAGAAGCAACAAUUAAUCAACUAUUGUUUUACAAAUGUUCUAAGGACAGGGUGUUCAGCUUCUGUACCUUUUGCUUGCUUUGCUAGUUCUAUCCCAUAGGGGGCCCCAGAAACUGCUGGCCUCAAAGAUGCAUAAAAUAUGUUAAUCUCCCCCAGUCAGGGCUUGAGUCUGAUGCUUGGCUCAGGUCCCAGCCAGUAAUAAACUGCUGUGUGGAUUUAAUAUCAGUCUCUGGUUGGUUCUUUCUCACUGGGUCCAACAGACAUUAUUGCAUUUUUGGUUGUAUGUGGGAUACUUACAUCAUGUUAAGUAGAUUCAUGACUUUGUGUUUAUUUGGAGAUUAAGUGUGACUUAAGAAAAUAUGUUUGGGUGUCAGGAAGGGGUGGAAUAUGAUGGUCACCAUGAACUAAGCACCUUUGCUCUGCUAUGCCCUUCCACCACAAUGUUCCUGUCUUGGGGACAGCUGGCCAUAUAUUGAACCCUUUGAAAACAAGAGCCAAUUAAACCUCUCAUCCUUUAUGUUGUAACUGUUGGGUAUUUUGUGCCAGAGAUGGUAAAGCUGAACAAUAUAGGCUAUAUAUUUAACUUUAUAAGAACAUCUAAACAAAUAUUCCAGUUGGUUAGUUGCUCUUUGUGUCUACCAGCAGCUAUUUAAUAAGCCUGAAUUAAGUUAUUUUAAAAAUGCC
ensembl:lncRNA